rnacentral:tRNA from 4 species
GGAGGGCUCGCCUAGUGGCCGAUGGCGCCGGUCUUGAAAACCGGUGAGGCGUUCCGCGUCUCCGUGGGUUCGAAUCCCACGCCCUCCGCCA